rnacentral:rRNA from 1 species
UACGAAGGGGGCUAGCGUUGCUCGGAAUCACUGGGCGUAAAGGGUGCGUAGGCGGGUCUUUUAAGUCAGGGGGUGAAAUCCUGGAGCUCAACUCCAGAACUGCCUUUGAUACUGAAGAUCUUGAGUUCGGGAGAGGUGAGUGGAACUGGCGAGUGUAGAGGUGAAAUUCGUAGAUAUUCGCAAGAACACCAGUGGCGAAGGCGGCUCACUGGCCCGAUACUGACGCUGAGGCACGAAAGCGUGGGGAGCAAACAGG